rnacentral:rRNA from 1 species
AGCGAACGCUGGCGGCAUGCUUAACACAUGCAAGUCGCACGGGCAGGGGUAACUCUGUCAGUGGCGGACGGGUGAGUAACGCGUAGGUAUCUAUCCUUGGGUGGGGGACAACCGCGGGAAACUGCGGCUAAUACCGCAUGACGACUUUGGUCGAGAGAUCAGGGUCCAAAGGCCGAAAGGUCGCCUGGGGAGGAGCCUGCGUCCGAUUAGCUUGUUGGUGGGGUAAUGGCCUACCAAGGCUCCGAUCGGUAGCUGGUCUGAGAGGAUGAU